ACGGGCCAGCAAUGACGGAUAGGGUUGAUCCAGCCGGGGUUUGGAUUCUGAGCCACCAGACAUGAUUUUAUGAAGACCACCCUACAACUUUUGUACACGUAAAGCGGGAGACGGGCUUGUCUGACUGAUUCGGGACGUUUUCACCGAGAGGAUCCGUGUACGGAGAAGAGCACUCCCCCCGGGUUUGAUAUCAAGAGUUGCUGGUAAGACGCUCGGGAAUGAUCUUUAAUUAUUAUAUUUACAUCUUUGACGGUGUUAAAACGCCACUUAAUAAUAAAAAUGUAAAUAAUAAUCAAUAUCCUGACGGUGGGGGAAUUGACACAAGCUUUAAGUGCGCCACCAGAGGGAGUAGCAUGUUUCAACACUGCUCUGACUGGUUAAUGUGUAAAAGGACAGUUUAAAUUCCACCGUAAAAACAUCAGCAGUUUAACUGAAACAAGUUAAUGUUUGAGUUAAUGUCGCGUUCGGGCGCUACAUUUGGUCACGACUCGCUGGUAUUCCUUGAGGAGCUGUGUGGUGUUUACAUCAGUGCUGGCCCAUUAAAACCCGAGCCACGUGUAGGUAGCUGGGGACCAUGUGGCCAUUGUAAACACUGCUGCCUUGUGGGUCUUUAUGUGCUGUAACGGGCUCUUUCUGUUACUUUUACCACCCAAAUGCGGACUAAGUAGUCAGCUGGGUGUAUUUCAGUGAGGUUUUUUUUGUGUAUGUGUGUGUGUGGGGGGGCAGUUUCUGCCAUAGCUCGGAGCCAGCUGACACUGUAUCGUGCUUCUAUUGUGCUGUUAGGAGUAUAUUGUAUUAUGUAAUGACACCAGCGCUAUUUGCAUGGAACUCCUUCCCAGCGGUCGGCCACCCUGAUUAUUAGGUUCCGCCACGUAUCAACGUAAAUGUCAGUAUUGCUACAGGAAAGGUCAGACUCCCUCACGAUAAGCAGACAGUUUGGGAUCACCGGCGGGUCACGUCCCUCCCACGUCUUUUUGUGUGUACCAGUGAGUGUGGUACGGUGACAGCAGAAUACAGAAGGGGCUGACCAGUCAACUGCUCUCAGAGUCUUUGUUUCAGGGACCUAAACUCAAUUUAGAGGCUUCAGGACGGGAACGGAAAUAAUUAAUAAAGCAGUUUGUAUUACUGAACAUCGCUAAUGUUAUUAGGCUGCUGUCAGGGAUGUGAAAGUAAUAACUGAGGCUGCAGGAGCUUUUCUCCACGGACUUUCUUAUUCACAUAUGAAUUGUGAUUUAUUUAUUUAUUUCUGUUAAUGUAACCUGACAAAAAAGC
ensembl:lncRNA